UUAAAAAAAAUUUGAGACUCUAAAUAUUAAUUUCCCCCGCACACUUCUCUUUUUCCCUCCUCCCUCCUCCCUCUUCCCUCUUCCCUCUUUCUUUCUUUUCCCUCUUCCUCUUUCUUUCUUUCAGCCGAAUGUUUAGAUAUUCCAAACAUAAUAUGUGUUUGUUUAAUAAAAUAAUUAAAUAAAUAAAAACACUGUUUUCGUCUUCGUCUUCUUCUUCUCUUUUUCUGGCUCGUUUUUGCUUCAAACUGAACUUUCAUACUCAAAACCAUUUCUAUACAGACAAGCUUGACUCCUCGCCCUCCUCCUCUCUCGUAAGCUCAAUUUAUUCUUUACCUUUAUUGAAAAAUAAUCAUACUCUUUCAAAAAUGGAAAAUACUAACUUUUUUUUUUCACUAGCUAUUGUUAAACUAUGAAUUAGCGGAUGAUAUUUAAAUGAGGUCCGGAUUUUAAUCGCUGAGUUUCAAUUUCAUUAUUUUAUUUUUAUUGGAUCUUUCUGUUUUGGUGGGUUCCUUCCCUUGAGAAUUUGUAAUCUUUGAAAGUAUGGUGAAGGAGACUGCAUACUAUGAGAUUUUGGGUGUCAAUGUUGAUGCUUCCCCAGCUGAAAUUAAGAAAGCUUACUAUCUCAAGUGAAGUAUGACUCAUGCAUGGGAAGGAGUUGUUCAGCUUCUCUUCUCAGUGUUAGUGGCUAAAACUAUACUUGGAUAUUUAAGAGAACCAAGACAACAAGAAAUUCUUCUUCAAGUUGUUGGGUAUUAUUUUCUUUCUUGCUUGUAAGAAUUAUGUACAGUGAGGUUUUUAUUUAUAUGUCUAUAGUUUUGUUGUGUUC